UAAUCCUCGAAAAGCAAAGCAACUAGUGGUGGAUCAGUACCUCCAAUGCAUAUCAAUAAAGAAGACGGUGAGAAAGGGAGUGAUGCCAAAAGUUCUUGUACAAAGUCAGAUGUGGAAGUAGAGAGCGUGUGCAAACAAAGUAACAUAUAUAGAGCCUCAGCGGAGAACAUGCAAGGAUUCUUCUCAUAUAAUUGAGACUAUAUGUCAGAAUGAUGAAUGAAAGUUUGGAUGAAAUGCUGAAGAAUUUGCACCUCUCAAUGGGGCAUGCGUCACAAAUGAUCAAUUGAUCGUAGAAGAGUAAUCUUGUGCGCUCGUAGAUACUGCAACUCAAAAG